UCGCGAAACGGCAAACCUGGUGAAAGCCAGGGACGCAAAGCUACAGGGCUUACUCACACCACACGGUGUGGCUGCCGGCUGAGCUACCGAAC
rnacentral:ncRNA from 1 species